CAGCCGCCACGGUAACACGGAGGGAGCUAGCGUUAUUCGGAAUUACUGGGCGUAAAGCGCACGUAGGCGGCUUUGUAAGUUAGAGGUGAAAGCCUGGUGCUCAACACCAGAACUGCCUUUGAUACUGCAUCGCUUGAAUCCAGGAGAGGUGAGUGGAAUUCCGAGUGUAGAGGUGAAAUGCACAGAUAUGUCACAGAACACCAAUUGCGAAGGCAGCUUACUAUGGUUUUAUUGACACUGAGGCACGAAAGCUAGGGGAGCAAACAGGAUUAGAUACCCCUGUAGUCCCUGUCUCUUAUAA
rnacentral:rRNA from 1 species